rnacentral:rRNA from 1 species
GGCGAAGGAUGCAAGCGUUAUCCGGAUUCAUUGGGUUUAAAGGGAGCGUAGGUGGCCUUAUAAGUCAGUGGUGAAAUCUCGAGGCUUAACCUCGAAAUUGCCAUUGAUACUGUAGGGCUUGAGUAUAGUUGCCGUUGGCGGAAUAUGACAUGUAGUGGUGAAAUACAUAGAGAUGUCAUAGAACACCGAUUGCGAAGGCAGCUAACGAAACUAUAACUGACACUGAGGCUCGAAAGUGCGGGGAUCAAACAGG